rnacentral:rRNA from 1 species
GACGAACCCUGGCGGCGUGCUUAACACAUGCAAGUCGAACGGUGACCUCGAGAGCUUGCUCUCGGGUGAUCAGUGGCGAACGGGUGAGUAACACGUGAGUAACCUGCCCCAGACUCUGGAAUAACCCCGGGAAACCGGAGCUAAUACCGGAUACGAGACGGAGUCGCAUGGCUACCGUCUGGAAAGUUUUUCGGUCUGGGAUGGACUCGCGGCCUAUCAGCUUGUUGGUGAGGUAACGGCUCACCAAGGCGACGACGGGUAGCCGGCCUGAGAGGGCGACCGGCCACACUGGGACUGAGACACGGCCCAGACUCCUACGGGAGGCAGCAGUGGGGAAUAUUGCACAAUGGGCGAAAGCCUGAUGCAGCGACGCCGCGUGAGGGAUGACGGCCUUCGGGUUGUAAACCUCUUUCAGCAGGGAAGAAGCGAAAGUGACGGUACCUGCAGAAGAAGCACCGGCUAACUACGUGCCAGCCGCCGCCGUAAUAC